UCNCAGAAUUUAAGGAUGCCAAACCAUUGA
rnacentral:piRNA from 1 species